rnacentral:lncRNA from 1 species
ACCUGGGAGGCUGCAAACUGUGGAAGCUGUACGCACGGUGUAGCAGACUAGCGGUUAGAGGAGACCCCUCCCAUGACACAACGCAGCAGCGGGGCCCGAGCACUGAGGGAAGCUGUACCUCCUUGCAGAGGACUAGAGGUUAGAGGAGACCCCCCGCAAACAAAAACAGCAUAUUGACGCUGGG